rnacentral:lncRNA from 1 species
UUGAACAUAAAAGAAAUACUGAAAUUAGCUUCAUGGACCAACCAAAUGAACAAUUCAUGAAAUUGCAUCAACUUAAGUCCAUUAUAGACUAAUUUUGCUGACUUUCACAGUUUUAAAUGGAUCUGGAUAGAAGAUGUUCAAUAUAAACUAGCCCCCUGCUACAGCAUAUCCAACAGUCCAUACACACAAUAGAUUUCAAUCAUUUUACAAGCCAACGUACCCAUUCCAACUUACAAACACAAUCUUAAGCCAAUAACAUAAAUAAGCAAGCAAACAUAUGAAGAAAAGCUAAAUUACUACAUAACUAAAGGAGUUUAAUAACAUAAGAUGGCAUUUGAUAGCAGGAUGUGAUAAAACUUUCAACGGGAUCAUGUAACUUUAGAUUUCCCCAUUAUUACACAUAUAGAGGUCUAGAAAGUACCUGAAUACAACAAAAACAACAAGGAACAACCUGAAGUUAGGAAGAACAACAGCAGUAGGUAAACAACAAUGCAAACGAUUCAAUCCAUGCUGGAACCCAGAAAUAGCAAGGUAUUGGAAAUUCUUUUGAAAGAAACCCAGAAAUUUGAACUAGUUCAUCAACGGAACAAUACCCUAGUGCCUUUUCUUUGUUUGAAGCUCUCUCAAUAUGUAGGUAUUUUGUAUUCUAGGUGCAGAAGGUAACUUUCAAAGAUAUUUUCAGCCGUUUCUGACUUUUCUCCAAGUAUGAUCCUCUUUUUCAAAUAUGCCUUGCCUAUCAAGUUUAAGUGCCUUUAUAGGCAAGGCAUUAGGGCAGCCUAAAAGUAUUAAAAUUUGCAUUUCAAACCUUUUCUAAUUUUGGUUUUAGCAACUAUUUUCAGAAUUUCAAAACCAGUUCCAAAACCCCUUUCCUGGAAGCUUCCUAAGGUUGUUACAUAAGAUUCCCCUACUAAAUACCCAAACUACCCUCAAACCCAUGAAAAUUGCUUCAGAAUUCCAAAUGGGUUAAUUUGACCCAGUGACUUAAACCAAAUUGAACGGGCUACAAUUUGCAAAUGGGUCGGAAACAACCCAAAGCCCAACAAUAAACUAACCAGCUAAAUUCUAUAAGCAUCCGGAGAAACAACAUGAUACAAACACUAAAACGACUUCCAUAAUCGAAAAAUCUAACUAAGUUAUUGUUUAAUUAACACAAACAUGCAGGGAUUUAACUAAGUUGUCAAAGCAACCUAAUUAUAUUAAACUAAGUGGCUUAAAACAAAAAGUAAAAUCAGAAAUUGAACAUACUCUUGACACAAACCAAUCAGACCAAUAAAAUUUAGAAAAGCAAAAUUGAAAAAACGGACAGUCCUCAAUUUUUAGCUGUACUUUGUUCAAGUUUCCAUUCAAUUAAUCAGAGAGAAAGAGAAGAAAUGAGGAGGAAAGAAGACUGAAGGCACACAAGAAUGAAAGAAGAAAUAAGAAACUCACCAACCUAUGCUUCGCACUCGCGAUUAACUUUCUGAUUUAGUCCCCAAAUAAUGUCAUCUGCUUGUUCCUUGCGAAGAACAAGUAAGCAACGUUAUUCUGGGACCAAACUGGCCUUGAACGCUAAGGAAACUUUGAAGGAUACCCCUGCAUGAACGAACUCGGCCAUGGCUUCUAGGGCUCGAACCCUAGAUUUGAGAUUCGAGGAGUUCAGGCCAUGUUUGAGAGGAGCGGAGUGGGGAUUUGGAAAUGGGUGAGUGAGGAGGUCUUGGGGUGUAAAAAUGGGGGUGAACGGAGGUGGUCUCCGCCACCAAUGGCGGUGGGAAUUUAGGGGCGGCGGGCUAGGGUUUCCGUCUCUGAUGGAGGUAGGUUUGUG